rnacentral:lncRNA from 1 species
UCCCGAAUUUUUAAAAAGAUAUCUUAAUUAUGCGGAUUUUCUAUUACCUCACAAAAGUAUUAAAUACCUUUAUAAAUAAAGCAUUUGACCCAUUUUCACAUCUAUGAACAAGCGUGUGAUUCUCACCCCUUAUAAUUAAUUAAUUCAAUUUAAAAAGGGGGUUAACCCGAUCCGAAUCGUUUCAAAAAAAAAAAAUCUUCUUCAAAGUUCCAAUCUUUAUUCAAUAACCCACAAAAUUCUAACUCAAAUUCAUCAAUCCAUUUCACAAUUUUACUCCUUAGAUUGAUUAAAUUGACUCGAAAAUCUGUAGCUAUUGCUCAUGCUAUAUACAACAACGACAGCUCUUUCCCUUUCUCCCUCUGUGGGAACAACUUUUCUUGUCACCAUAGCUACCCAACUGGUUCUUCUUCUUUCAUUACUGCUUCUCCAACUUUGUUACAAAACGACUUCUAAUUAAUUUUUUGGAUUGAAAAUUAAAUUAAAUUCUCAUCUUUUUUAGCUGAUUUCAUUAGAGAGGGUGUUGAUUUUUUUUUAAAACCUUCAACCAGAGGCUCUCUUG